CGGGAGGCAGCAGUGGGGAAUAUUGCACAAUGGGGGAAACCCUGAUGCAGCAACGCCGCGUGGAGGAUGACACAUUUCGGUGCGUAAACUCCUUUCAUAUAGGAAGAUAAUGACGGUACUAUAUAAUAAGCACCGCGGGAGGCAGCAGUGGGGAAUAUUGCACAAUGGAGGAAACUCUGAUGCAGCAACGCCGCGUGGAGGAUGACGCAUUUCGGUGUGUAAACUCCUUUUAUAUAGGAAGAUAAUGACGGUACUAUAUGAAUAAGCACCGGCUAACUCCG
rnacentral:rRNA from 1 species